rnacentral:rRNA from 1 species
UACGUAGGUGACAAGCGUUUGUCCGGAUUUACUGGGCGUAAAGAGCGCGCAGGCGGUCGUUCAAGUCGAGUGUGAAAGCCCCCGGCUCAACUGGGGAGGGUCACGCGAUACUGAUCGACUCGAAGGCAGGAGAGGGUAGUGGAAUUCCCGGUGUAGUGGUGAAAUGCGUAGAUAUCGGGAGGAACACCAGUGGCGAAGGCGACUACCUGGCCUGUUCUUGACGCUGAGGCGCGAAAGCUAGGGGAGCAAACGG